GGCGCGGUAGCUCAGUCGGUUAGAGCGUCGGAUUCAUAACCCGGAGGUCGAGGGUUCGACUCCCUCCCGCGCCACAA
rnacentral:tRNA from 1 species